CGGGCGAGUAACACGUAUCCAACCUGCCGUCUACUCUUGGACAGCCUUCUGAAAGGAAGAUUAAUACAAGAUGGCAUCAUGAGUCCGCAUGUUCACAUGAUUAAAGGUAUUCCGGUAGACGAUGGGGAUGCGUUCCAUUAGAUAGUAGGCGGGGUAACGGCCCACCUAGUCUUCGAUGGAUAGGGGUUCUGAGAGGAAGGUCCCCCACAUUGGAACUGAGACACGGUCCAA
rnacentral:rRNA from 1 species